UACGUAGGGUGCAAGCGUUGUCCGGAAUUAUUGGGCGUAAAGAGCUCGUAGGCGGUUUGUCGCGUCUGCUGUGAAAACUGGAGGCUCAACCUCCAGCCUGCAGUGGGUACGGGCAGACUAGAGUGCGGUAGGGGAGAUUGGAAUUCCUGGUGUAGCGGUGGAAUGCGCAGAUAUCAGGAAGAACACCAGCGGCGAAGGCGGCACUCUGGGCUGGAAUUGACGCUGAGGAGCGAAAGUGUGGGUAGCAAACAGG
rnacentral:rRNA from 1 species